rnacentral:rRNA from 1 species
UGCGGAGGAUCAUUAUUGAAACUUCUGGGGGAGCGGGCCUCGGCCAGCACCGGUGGCGACGCCGUGUUGCGGUCGGACCCGCGCCCUCUUCCAAACCCAAACACCUGUGAACCUUUGGGAGGGCGGUUGUAGCGACCGCUCUCCCGUUUUAACAACUCUGAUGUCUAUUUGAAUGUGAUUCGGGGCAGCCCCGAUUAAAACUUUGUAACAACUUUCAACAACGGAUCUCUUGGCUCUCGCAUCGAUGAAGAACGCAGCGAAAUGCGAUAAGUAAUGUGAAUUGCAGAAUUCAGUGAAUCAUCGAAUCUUUGAACGCACCUUGCGCCCCUUGGUAUUCCGAGGGGCAUGCCUGUUUGAGUGUCUUGAAAUCAUCAAACCGAACCGGUCUUUGUUGCCGGCGCGGUUUGGAAUUGGGGGUUUCUUUGCUGGCCGCUCGCGGUUGGCUCCCCUUAAAUCGAUCGGUCGGGCUUUCGUGCGGCUCUGUCCCUUGGCGUUGUAUUACCCUCGUCGCUGGAUGGCUCGCGAUAAUGCGCCCUUCUCUGACUUGCCUCUGGAGUGGCGGUCUUCAACAUUUUGUGAUCUGACCUCAAAUCAGGUAGGACUACCCGCUGAACUUAAGCAUAUCAAUAAGCGGAGGAAAAGAAACUAACAAGGAUUCCCCUAGUAACUGCGAGUGAAGCGGGAAAAGCUCAAAUUUGAAAUCUGGCGGUUACGCCGUCCGAGUUGUAUUCUGGAGAAGCGUUUUCCGUGCUGGACCGUGUACAAGUCUCC